UACGAAGGGGGCGUAGCGUUGUCUCGGAAUCACUGGGCGGUAAAGGGCGCGUAGGCGGCCUUGUAAGUUGGGGUGAAAGCCCGUGGCUCAACCACGGAAUUGCCUUCGAUACUGCUUGGCUUGAGUGUGGUAGAGGUUGGUGGAACUGCGAGUGUAGAGGUGAAAUUCGUAGAUAUUCGCAAGAACACCAGUGGCGAAGGCGGCUCGCUGGCCCCGAUACUGACGCUGAGGCACGAAAAGCGU
rnacentral:rRNA from 1 species